GAGCGGUAACAGGUGUAGCAAUACAUGCUGACGAGCGGCGAACGGGUGAGUAAUGCUUCGGAAUCUGCCCAGUAGUGGGGAAUAACCAGCCGAAAGGUUGGCUAAUACCGCAUACGUCCUACGGGAGAAAGCGGGGGACCGUAAGGCCUCGCGCUAUUGGAUGAGCCGAAGUCGGAUUAGCUAGUUGGCAGGGUAACGGCCUACCAAGGCGACGAUCCGUAGCUGGUCUGAGAGGACGACCAGCCACACUGGGACUGAGACACGGCCCAGACUCCUACGGGAGGCAGCAGUGGGGAAUAUUGGACAAUGGGGGAAACCCUGAUCCAGCGACGCCGCGUGUGUGAAGAAGGCCUGCGGGUUGUAAAGCACUUUUAGUGGGGAUGAAAAGCCCNAGGGAUAACACCUCUGGGUCUUGACCUAACCCACAGAAAAAGCACCGGCUAACUCUGUG
rnacentral:rRNA from 1 species